UACGUAGGGUGCGAGCGUUAAUCGGAAUUACUGGGCGUAAAGCGUGCGCAGGCGGUUCGUCGUGUCUGAUGUGAAAGCCCCGGGCUCAACCUGGGAAUGGCAUUGGAAACUGGCGGACUAGAGUGUGGCAGAGGGGGGUGGAAUUCCGCGUGUAGCAGUGAAAUGCGUAGAGAUGCGGAGGAACACCAGUGGCGAAAGCGGCUUUCUGGUCCUUAACUGACGCUGAGGCGCGAAAGCAUGGGGAGCGAACGGG
rnacentral:rRNA from 1 species